AAAUUUUACAAUCAUUAGCGGAGGAAAGAAACCAACAGGGAUUGCCUUAGUAACUGCGAGUGAAGCGGCAAAAGCUCAAAUUUGUAAUCUGGCGUCUCCGGCGCCCGAGUUGUAAUUUGGAGAGGCACCUUCGGGGGGAGCGCCGGCCUAAGUUCCUUGGAACAGGACGUCACAGAGGGUGAGAAUCCCGUGUUCGGCCGGCUGCCUUCUUCCAUGUGAAGCGCCUUCGACGAGUCGAGUUGUUUGGGAAUGCAGCUCUAAAUGGGUGGUAAACUCCAUCUAAAGCUAAAUAUUGGCGGGAGACCGAUAGCGCACAAGUAGAGUGAUCGAAAGAUGAAAAGCACUUUGAAAAGAGAGUUAAAAAGUACGUGAAAUUGUUGAAAGGGAAGCGCUUGAGACCAGACUCGGCCGGAGGCCAUCAGGCCCGGUUCUCCGGGCUGCACUUGCCUCUGGUCGGGCCAGCAUCGGUUGCGACGGCGGGAUAAAGGUCCGGGGAAUGUGGCUCCUCUCGGGGAGUGUUAUAGCCCCGGGCGCCAUGCCGCCUGUCGCGACCGAGGACCGCGCUUCGGCUAGGAUGCUGGCGUAAUGGUCUUCAGCGACCCGUCUUGAAACACGGACCAAGGAGUCUAACAUCUAUGCGAGUGUUCGGGUGGAAAACCCUUGCGCGUAAUGAAAGUGAACGGAGGUGUGAAGCCGCAAGGCCGCAACAUCGACCGAUCCUGAUGUCUUCGGAUGGAUUUGAGUAGGAGCAUAGCUGUUGGGACCCGAAAGAUGGUGAACUAUGCCUGAAUAGGGUGAAGCCAGAGGAAACUCUGGUGGAGGCUCGCAGCGGUUCUGACGUGCAAAUCGAUCGUCAAAUUUGGGUAUAGGGGCGAAAGACAAUCAACAUCUGU
rnacentral:rRNA from 1 species